CAGUAGCCGCGGGAAUACGGAGGGUGCAAGCGUUAAUCGGAAUUACUGGGCGUAAAGCGUGCGUAGGCGGUUCGUUAAGUCUGUUGUGAAAGCCCCGGGCUCAACCUGGGAAUGGCAAUGGAUACUGGCGAGCUAGAGUGUGUCAGAGGAUGGUGGAAUUCCCGGUGUAGCGGUGAAAUGCGUAGAGAUCGGGAGGAACAUCAGUGGCGAAGGCGGCCAUCUGGGACAACACUGGCGCUGAGGCACGAAAGCGUGGGGAGCAAACAGGAUUAGAUACCCCCGUAGUCCCUGUCUCUUAUAC
rnacentral:rRNA from 1 species